GACAUCCCUAGGUAAAGGAAGAAAAAGAGAAACAUCAGGAUAUCUGUCCACUGGCUGGAUCAGGUUAUUUUUCAGAUUCUCACAGUAAUUUAGGAGUUUCCUACAGUUCUACGGCAAAAAUAAAAUCCAGAGGAGGUCGGGAUUUCAUACUGCCUUGCUAGGAUCUGAUACCAUUCAAAUCCAAGUAGGAUAUGAAUUCUGCCUGUGAUUUUCCCUGUGUUUUAAAGUUUGUCUUUAAUGGCUCAUAGUGCAGAAUAUGGGUGGUAAAGAAGUAGCAGGACUUUUAACAUUACACCUUUAAAGCCAACCAGAUACAAAUGCAUGCGCAAAACCAAAGUUUUAAAAAGUCUUUAAAUAAAUCACAUCUUCCAUUGGAAGAGAGCUAUUUUCCUUUAGACCUUUACAGACUCCUUUUAACCUGUUGGGAUACUUCAGUAGAAAGGAUUGUAAUUACUAAAACAACGUUCUUCAUAAACUGAAAUGAAAAUCUUCCGUUCCAUCCUGAAAUUCUUAGAAAACUCAGAAUUAUGUUUGCCGCAUUCGGUUUCUGUGGUGCUGAGUCCAGCUCAGCAGAUGCCUUGCGCCGUUGGGGCAGGUGCUUCCUUCCGAACUGCCGGGGGAAUGUCAGCUGGUCUUGCCGCUGCUUCGCACUCGUUUUUUGCUCUGUCCCAAAACCUCUCCUACCAACACUUGAAGUCAAGAUGUUUUCUCAGAAUUAAGAGUCUGUAAAGAAGUAAACCUGUAAAAAAAGGUUCUAGUGUAGGAACGUUGUUUGAGUGCUUUCAUCAUGAACACCCUAAUAAUAAAUAAUUCUGCUUUUUUCUAUGCAUUAUUUUCUGAGUGCUGUUCUUAUUCCUCUUAGAAGUCUCACCCACCGGCUGGUUUCUUGCACCUGAAAGAUUACUGCUAAUUUUAUGCUUUAAACAAACUCCUUCUAAAACACUUGGGUUUGCUCUGCCUUUUUUUUUUUUUUUCUUCUUUCUUUUGAUUUGCUUGUAUUUUUAAAUUGAGUUAGAAAUUGUUUCCCCUUUCUGUAGGAGGGUUUUUUUACUUCUAAUAGCUUCCUUGCUAUCGUACAUAUUUGAAUAUGUCACAAGUAGUUGACUUAAACCACAUAAACUUCUUUUUUGUUCUUCUGGAGUCCUUUUUGAUAGGUAGUGUGUGUUUCUACCAAGCCCCUGAAUUGGCUCUUAGAAGAGACUGAAUGUUGCCUGCUAUCACUUUAUCCUUUGAAGAGUCACAGAAUGGUUGAGCUUCCAGAUCAUCCAGUUUGACCUCACUGCUCUGCAUAGUGUCACCCGGAGCAGGUUGCUCCGAGCUGUGUCCUGUUGACUUCCCGGUAUCUCCAAGGUUGGAGACUCCACAGCCUCUCUAGGCAACAUGUUCCAACAGUCGACCACCCUCACAGUACAGAAGUUUUUUCUUUUGUUGAAUUGGACUUUCCUGUAUUUCAGUUUGUGCCUUUUGCCUCUUCUCCUGUCACUGGACACCUGAGGAGACCCUGGCUCCAUCUUCCCAGUUCCCUGUCCCCAUCCCUGCCCAUCAAGUAUUUAUACACGUUGCGAAGGUUCCUUUGACUCUUCUCCAGACUAAAAUUUCCAACUCUCUCAGCCGAUUCUGCUAUGACAGGUGCUCCAGUCCCUUAAUCAGUGGCCUUCUCCUUUUUUUUUUUUUCCCCACCAGUUUCCUCAUUGUAUAGAGCUCUCCUUCUGAAGCAAAACAUCUUGGUAAACUAGAUCUUGGACUAGAUCUUACCAAGACAAGGCUGGCCUUUCAGCAACCCCCAUGGGUCUCCAUCAAGUCCUCAUGGUGGUGGCAGCUACCUGCAGGAAGGGAAGAUGGUUAAAUGCUGUGUGAAAGGCUUUGUGGAAGGGCAGUGACACCUCGCAAAUUGUUGGGAGUUCUUUGAAGGUGUUCUGGCACAAACAUGUGGAGAAAGAUGAUCCUGUUUGUAGAAUGAAUUGGGAUUUCUGAAGAGCCUUGACAAAACGAGAUAUCAAGGGCUGUUGAGGUAGUUAAUCCGUUAUGUGACGAGGAGGAUGGCUUUUCUGGAUUAAUGAAAAAAACAUAAAAGAGUGGGGGAAAAGCCUGGGGAGAGGUGAUAAGUUUCAUGCUAGAGGAGGACUGGAAAAUGAACCGGUAUCUGAACAUACCCCACCGUGGCGGCAGAGGCUAGGCUAGCACUGCUACUACUGAAAUACUCAGGGUAAGAGAAUGACAGUAGCUGCAACAAAGUGUGUCUCUGACACAAAAUAAUAUACGAGGUAGUGAAAGCUAACGCUGAUUGUCUAAAGAAGCAGAAUGAUCCUGCAAUUCUAAGUGACUGCGCGGUAAAAUAAGUGACGUGAUUCAAUACGGGUGAUUGUAAAGCGUAUUUAGGAAUAAGGCGUCUUAACUGUAUGUGGAUGACAGUGGGGUUUAAUUUACUUGGCACGCUGGGAAGAUCUUGGAGUCAUCUCUGCAAAUGUCAGGUCAGUGCUACUUAAUAAUGUUGAGGGGAAAUAGAAUGGUAAGAUUUUUUAGGAAAGAAAUGGAAAAGAGAACAGAAAAACUUCGCUUUGUCAAUCUAAUAUGACUGCGUCUGAAAUGGUCUAUGCAGUUCUAUAAAUCCUCUAUGCAGUUUAUAAUAAGAGCACAGAAAGCUGCAGCAAGGAUGAUUACAAGUAUCAGGUUGUUCAUAUAUAAAGUGAUAAGGAGUAGAUAAGGAUUUCUCUCUUGGGAAAGCCUAGGACUGGAAGCAGCGGUACACUACCGGUGCCGUGCAUGUCGUAAAGCAGGUGACGGGGAAUGAUUAUUCUUAUGAGAGGGGGUUUGGGGCACGUAAGAAUGUGAGGCAAGAGACUUAAAAAUGAGAAAAGGUGUGUUUAGGAUUUGUGCAUCAGUGCUGGUCCCCGGGGUGCUGCGGUGCCUGUUGAGCAGGGUGACACAGCGCCAGGGGCUGCUCUGCCCCUCCCCCCUCCCCACCGGCGAGCAGGCUGGGGGGCACCAGGAGCUGGGAGGGGGCACAGCCGGGACAGCCGCCCCCGCUGAGCCCAGGGGUGUCCCACACUAUGACACUGCGCUCAGCAAUAAAAGCUGGAUGGAAGUUUGCAGGAGCUCCUGUUGCUCAGGGGCUGGCUGGGCAUCACUCGGUUGAAGGUAAACAAUUUUUUUCUUGCAUCACUUGUUCUUCUUGGGUUUGUUUUGUGUCCCUCCCUGCCCCCCCACCUUGUUGUUUUUAUUUUCUGUCCUUUUUUCAUUAUUGAACUGUCUUCAUCUCCACCCAUGAGUUUUCUCCCUUUCAGCCUUCCAGUUCUCUCCCCCAUCCCACUGGGCACGAGGUGAGCAAGCAGCUGCGUGGAGCUGAGCUGCAGCCAGGGUUAAACCACGACACCUUCCUAAGAUCUUUAGCUCAGGACUAGCAAAUCAAAGGAUCAUGGUGUGAAAUACUCCGACUUUUUUAAUCACUACAGACUUUCUGUUGUUUCCCUGCCAUUUUAUGCCUUCUGCCUUUGAGAAGCAGUAUCUGUCUUUGUAGUGCCGCUAUAGUACCACAUCCCUCUUUAAAUAUAAAUGCUGGCAGGACGGUUGUUAGCCACGGAGGUGUCCCAUUCUAAUGGGAGGUGGAUAACUGCUUGUUUAGACUGCAGGUGUAUAACACAUCCUGAGACUGAGAAUCAAUAGCAGCAGGGCUAGCACGGUAAUUAUAGAAGAUUAGAAAAAUUUCAAGUUAUUUGACAAAAUCAAGACAUACCUGACUUAAAAAUGGAGUGAGAAGGAAAUUCUUUACAGUUACGUAUGCGCACCCUCGGAAUUAAACAGUAGCCCCUGAAACAAGAGGUUACACGUAGCUCAAACACCUCAGAGCUACCCCUUGCAGGGUGAGCUCGCUGGCAACGUUAGUAGAGCAAAUUAGUAGGCAAAAAAAAUAUGAUACCCCACAGCCCUUUGCAGUGUGUCAUUACUUGACCUGUGUAGCAUAACAACACUGCUGCUUUGAAUACCCACUGUAACUCUAAGAGUCAAAAUCUGUGCUGCUGCCUGCUCUCACCUCCCUUAGACUUAAAAUCCAAGUCUUCUGUCUUCUGCCAUCCCUAGGAAGGAGCUUUUCAACCCAUCGCGCCACCUGUAGCCUUCAGAGGGAAGAUGUGCAGUGAGCCCUACGAGACCCCAGGCGUAACAGGAGGCUGCACCGUGUUUUGGGGCCAUGCAUUUAUUGUGACAAAGUAGUAUCAUCAUGGAAACACGGUGCCCAGCCGGUGAAGGGAAAACCUGAUACUCCCCAGAACUGGUCUCAGACCCUGCUCCCAAGAACUCUGCUAAUAACUCCAGUGGACCUUAUGGAGGAGCAAUGUGACCCUGAGAGGUGGGUCCUCAGCCAGAUCUUCCUUUUCACCCCACCAGACAAAGUCAUUUAGCUGCCUGAAGCAGAAGACAGGCUGCUGUUCACACCCAGGCUCUGAAAUGCAUCUGACUUGGGAUGCAGGGGGACAGAGAGGACCAGGGACUUGCCGGUGACCUCGCCAUCAAAGGUCUGCUGCAGCUUUGCACGGCAGGGACACAACUCUUCUUCGCAUCAACUAGCUGCUAGGAUUCCUUCUGUGAACACUACACCGGUUUCCUGAUAGAAGUUGGCUGUUUCCCAGGAGAGCAGAAAGUAAAACUGAUUCUUACAUGGAGUGAGCGUCUGGUUUUGCAGUGGAGGAGGGGAUCCCGCUUUCAGCACUUCACCCCACCAUUGGUCCUAUGCGCUACAUGAUGUGCUACAUGAUUCGAGUGAGGGAGGAUGAUUCUUCUUGAAGGUCUUAAACUUCUUAAAGUUUUUUGUUUCAUUCUGUAUUGCGAUUCCUAAUUUUAGUGAACAGUUCUUUCAAGGACUGUAAAAUCCAACUGGAAGGCGAAUUAAAUGAGAAAGAAGAUAAGAGCACCAGAAAUAACUUCAUUCUGUCUAAAGUUAUUCUUUCACCUCUGAUUCAGUUUCUUUUGUGUGUGUGCUACUAGAGUCCUUAGUUUGUGCUACAAUUGUAGAGUCGUAAGGCAGACUGCAGUACAAAAUUUUUCAGAAGAAAAACUGGUAGGAACAGGAUUUCUAAUGCAAGAUGCAAGCAUUUCUUAAAUUUAUUCCCUAAAGCACAGAUUUGUUGCUGAUACUCUUUUUGUAAACAUGCCAUUUCCUGCUCUGCUGCUAAUAACGGUUGGAAAUAAAGUGCAACCUGAACCAGUAUGAUUUCUAAAGUUUUCGGUACUUCAUUUUCUCCUUUCUACUUACAGUAGAGUUGGUCCACUGUACACUCCCAGAAAUGCAUCAUCGUUGAUAACUUCCAGGUACUUGUUCUUGUGCAGGUAGCUGCAGAAGCAAACAGAACACAGUGAUCUGGCAAUAGUUAUGCAUAGGCUAAAGAAGAUCUUCAGUUUACCUGCCUAAAUAGCUUCACAAAAGCAGUAUUGUAUAAGCGCCAUCCCAUCCCAACAACAUAUUGAACCAUAAUCCGUUACUUCAUUUUCUCUGUACCCAAGAAACAAAAUACAGGCUUACCAUUUUGAAAAUAAAUUAAAUUCCUGAACAAACAGAUUAGCAAAAUAAAUUAUCUUUGCUCCAUAUCCUUUUUCUCUCUCUGUCAUACACAUAGAGACACAUGCAUACACACUGUAUCUGCAGGUAAAUAUGUGUGAGGAUGAGGUGAAAUAGAUUGGUUGGGCUUCAUCAGACUUAGGUUAUGGGGAUUUACAUGAUACUUCCAGGAACACAUCAUGAACAAACGUGAAAAUAAUUCCCUCCUUGUUCUGAGCUUGAUAAAUUUUGAAUGCUUUAAAAUCUCCAUAGCCAAGUGGAGGCUCCCAUGUACAUGUCAACAGUUAAGAAUGAGGUUUUGUUCUAAGAAGAGCAAGAGAGGGAGAAGGAUGAUAAAUCUGAAGGAAAAAAUAACAUAAAACUUAAUGUAAAAAAAAAAUUAAGAAUCUAAAGUCUUGUGAAAACAGUUUCCUGAGUAGCCAACACUUUCCUGAAAUACAGAAUGCUGCAAAUUUCUCCUGUCAUUACAUGAUCGAUGUAAGCAAGGACCAAUAUUAAUUCCCAUCACUCUGCAAACUGACUAAGAAAGUGGGGAUUCAGGAAGCCGGGAAUGUACAGAGUUGAGUUAAAGGUGCAUGAUUAAAGCCAGGCAAAGCGAGACUACUACUGAGUGCUCAAAAAAUGAACAUAACCCAAGUGGAACAAUCAAUGUUAAAUUCAGUUCUGUGUUUUUAGAGUUAAAAGUGACUGACCUAGAAUUAAUCUUGAUUUUUUAAAAUUAUUAUUAUCAUUAUAUUUUAGCUGGAUUCCUGUUUACCGUGGUCCAAAACUGUCAUUUGGGAAACUUAUAAAUACACGGAUUAUUAUUGCAGGAUGAGAAAGGACCUCAGAGAGAAGUUUGAACCACAGCAGCAAAGGGGAUGGUACAGCUGCAGGACUGAGCUUCGGGCCAGAAAUGCAGCAUAACCCGUUAAGGAGGGAACACGGAAAAUUGCCAAGGAAAGUUGUCGAGGGGAACGUAUGAUCCCAUUGAUGAGAUGAUGGCAGAGUGAUCAACACUGUAAAGGCCCUGAAGGACCAUGGUGCCUAGGCAGAAGAGACUCAUAGCACCUGUGACUAUCCUAUUUAUAAAUUUUAUCCAUUUUCUAUACAGUAGAAAAGGUAAAGUCUAAUGGCUCCAGUAGCAAAACACAGAUAAAAGCAUGAGGCUGCUGUCCAGGAGCAUCAAAAGGGUCCACAGCCUGCAACAUCACCGGUAGCUCAGGGCCAGCAGAAGCAGGAACAAGAGCUUGUAGCGACAUAGGUAUGACCACAGUGGGUGACCCAGACCCAACAACUGCAAGUGUCAGGAUUGCUGGACAUUUCACCAACAAGGGCACAUGGCUGGUGGAGGUCUUGUCAUGCAAGAACGAAGAAAAAGAAGAUGAUUGCAGAUGAUGACCAUAAAGCAUUGCUCAAGAGAAGACGACGUGGUCCUCGGUCCAGCUAAAGGACGGAAACUUUGCAAGGGCCGCAGACUGCCUUAGGGAGGUCAUGUUUCACAGGACAGAUGAAGGCAGAGAAAAUUCCAAAUGACGAGAUCAGCAGCAAAAGUGAGAAAUAGAAGACCAACAAUAUUGCCCAAGUGAAGCCAGGUGACGUUGCUCAGAAUUUCAACAAAAUUAUCUUAAAAAUAGAAACUUCAUGACAUUUCAGUUGGCACAGAAAUGAUAAGAUGCCCAGAUCAGACUUAUGAAAGAAAUUAAAUGAAAUGAAAGGAGAAAGAAUCUGAUACUACUAAUGCAGGCAGUAAUACCUCAAGCAGAGGGGGAUGUUUGGUACUAUAACUAUUACAAAUAUGUUAAAGCCAGCUUGUGAUGUAGUUACGAAGGCAAAAAAAAAUACAACAGCAAGGUUGUCACCACACAUUUCAGAGGGUGUCCGUGCAAUUGCUGUGAGCUGUGCCCAUCAUGCCAGUUGGUGGCAAAAAUGCAAAGGUCAAACCUUUGCCAGUUUUAAGUUCUGGAAGAAAACCACCAUUUGAGAUGGUGGCUGUGGAGAUAAUGGAAUUGAUCCAGAAAAGUGCAGAAGGCCGCUAUUUUAUCUCUGGGCUGGAAGAGUCUUUCAAAUUCAGAUAGCUGAACUGGGGUUAGCUGUAAAAAUAAUAAAGCCGGAGCAGUUAUUUCUUGCUGUGGGGGGAAAAAAAAUAACAAGUAAAGAUUCUAAUCCUGCCCCAGUUGAAGUCAUUGGCAAAUUUCCCAUAACAUUCACUGGAUAUAAGCUUAUAUUGAUCACCAUAGUGAGAAAUGAAAAGUAAAUGCACUUUGGCUGGGUUACACAACACAAAGUCUUAGGGAGCCGGGCCAGGGUGACACUUCUGGACUGUUAUUCAUUGGACAUCACCCAUGCCCAAAGCCUUGUUUCUUACUGAGGAAAAUAGCUUAAUGCAUCCUCUCAGCUCUUGUUAUUUGAAAUAACCUCUCUUUCUUUAGAAAUAUAUGGCAUCCUAAUAUCACCUGACAUUUGUGUUUUCUGAGAACUGACUUUCACACUCUGUAAAUGACAACCUAGUCGCUUCUGUUGUGAGCUUUUGCUUCAGUUUGCAAAUUUCCUUGUGAUUUUGUCUGCAAAACUAAUACAAAAAUUAAAACCAGAGCAAGAGAUAAGAAUUAAUUCCAGAUUUCAACACCUAGGCUGUAGUUUUGAAGGACAGAAACACCUGCCUGACCUAAUAAAACCUGUCUGCUUUAGUAACUAGACAUUGUUAUACAACCAGGUAGUCGCUUGUCCAAUUUUAAAAUAUUUUCCCCUGAUAUUUGAGCACUAUAGUGAGUGAUAAAACUGAAAUAUAAUAGUUUACAUAUGCAAUAAAAAUCUUCUAACUUCUGAGUAGAAACAGCCAGCUAGAGGCUUUUGGGAAGUUAAUAACAAUGCGUUACCAAGGAGGGGCUGCAGGGGUGGCUGCCAGUUUUCACAUAGAUGAGUCAGGCCCAUCAGAAUGCACAAUUUCCUGAUGCUAAUUGAUUUCAGUUGUUUAAGCCCUUUUAUUUUGAUAGGUACCUCUUUUAAAUGGAAAGAAGACUUCAGUAAAUAAAAAUUUGAAAAAUCUUAUGUACGGCCAAUAUAGCUCCUUCUGAGAGUGUCCUUAAUCCUGUUGCUGCUGAUAGUGGAAUGACAGAGGAUGUCAUUUAAAUGCACUGCAGUAAAGAAAAGCACAACACGUGUUGGAAGUCUUAGAAAUCCCACGGGUGAAGUGGAAUAUCUAUCCCCAGUGGGGACACUAGAAUACUAGUAAUUUUGUAAAGCUGGUGGAAGGUAGGCAUGAAUACCACCGUGCAAAGUAUGCGGGGAAUCUGGGAUAUUAAAUGCUGGAUCAGGAGUAGGAUACACUGAUGGUUUCAUAGUGCUAGAAGUAAAAGGCGGCUUGCUUUUUUUGGCUUGCCUUCCCCCCCCCCCCCCCAUCAAAUCAGAUCAGCGAUCUUAACUAUGCCAGUGACUAAAACAGAAUCUAUGGACUCAAGACUGGGGGGUAAGUGGGAAAAAUACUGCACUAAGUCACACCCCAGCAGAAAACAACCUGACUGCAGUCUGCUGAGCAGGAUCUUCUGAGGUCACAGAACAGCAACAGGGCCCUUCAGCUGCUGUGUAACACCAGACAGUGUCAUGUCAGGGCAUGGCAGAGAGCGAGUAUUCAGACGUUAUCAGCGCAUGCUUCAUAAAGCAACAGAUUAGAGAAUCUGCAUGAGGAAAAGCAACUUUUGAUCUGAGCUUGUGGCACACGUUUUAAAAUGUGACGGUCUAAAGUCUGUUUAAAAGAGCAACCACCAGCUACUGAUAUUCAGCAACUCUGUAGGACCAAAUAAGCCAAAGGGUACACUACAGCUAUAGUCUCCAAAUACAUAUAGAUGAGAAAACUUCCUUAAAAAUAAACAAAAGUAUCAAAGCUAAAUUAUUGAGAGCAUUCUGGGAGCUCUUUAGGGACACCAUUUUGGAGAUGCAGAGCAAACGUGAAAAGCAUGUGAUGGCAAAAGAAGAACAAAAUCCUGAAUACUUAAAAUAUUCAAAAUCUUCAACUGAGAUGAAAAACUGAAAGAUGCUAAAAGGCCUGAAGAUAUUUUUACCAAAAGUAUAUUUUCUUCUGGGGGUAAAGAAUACGAAUGAAAACUGCUGACCAGCUACUUCAGCUAACAAACACAUAGUUUCACAUACCUUUCUUUUUUCAGUGUAAAAGUUCUGUAUUUCUCUUCUUCCGUAGCCCACGGUCACUCGUGCCAUCCCCCAUACUGUAGCUGGAUACACCUUUCUCGGUGUUUUUUUUAAACUGGAUUAUUUCACUGAUCAGGUUUUACUGCAGUCCCACAACCAAUUUUAUCAGCACAGGGAGCGAUGGACUGAGAAUGAACAGCCAGAUGAGGGCAAACGGGAGGUUUGGCAAAAUUUUCUUCCAAAGGAUCGCUUAGUGAAAACCCAAGUUAGUUACGUUACUGAAGCUCCUGGUUGGAAUACCUCACUGGCUUAUGGAAUCACGUACUAUUUCAUAGUAUCUGCUUGCUUGCUUUCAGCUUCUGAUUUUAAAAUAAGGCAGCAGAGCUUAACAAGCAAGGAGAAAAAUAAUGUUGGCCACACAUUUCAGUAUCACCGCUAUAGUGUUAAACGGGCGCUGGACAUGUACUGUUAAUAUAUCUAUGCAUCCUGUUGGAUUAGGAAAUGAAGGUUAUAGAAAGGGAUAACAGCCAAAAGAGAUGCAGUGGUAAAUGAGCAGUAUUAAGGAUUCAUCAUAUGGCUUUUCUACACCACUGUUUAUCUUGACUGAGCUAAGCCAAGCAUUAUAAGUGAUCCCUGAGAGCGUAUACCAAAGUAAAUAUAUUCUUGUGGAGUUUAUUUUUGAAAUUAGAUUUUGAGAUUGCACACUUGCCAUUUCAGUGAUUUAGACAGCUCUGUAAAAGCUCAGCACAAAUAUAUUUUGCCAUUCACUGGAAUAUGUUUUUUGAAAAAAAUCUUCUUCCCUCACCAGUUUCCUUACAGAAAUAAACAUUGGUGCAGGAGCACCAUUUUGAGAAGUCUGCAGGAGUGAUGCAGUUCAUGGACCUUAGUCAUGUGUUAUAACGAGGGAUUCAAGUUUUAGAUGAAUGCUGUUCAGUAAAAGCAUCAUUCGGCCCUUCAUUCCUGGUUCUUUACUUCCCUGCCUUUACAAAACACGUCCAGCGAUACCGUGGUUUGCUAUUAAACCCAGAUCCUUGUUGGAUGAGAAGAUUUAUUAGGUAGUGCCAUUAUUCAGUAUGAUAAUGGAAACCAUUUGUGCAUGGUUCCACACCUGUAUCUGCAUUGACUGUUUUCACCUCCUUGAAUUACACCGGGUUUUUUAACACUGCAGAGUGGUAGAAAAGCACACUGCAUGGUGGAACGUGGCCUCCGAGAUUCCCAAAGCAUCUUCUGAUUUAUGGAUGGAAGAUGGAGUCUUUGGAUGAUUUGUCGAAAACUAAUUACUAUUUUUGGUUGUUUUCCUUUUUUUUUACUUGUUUUCCUCCUUGAGGGCACCAUUCAAAGUCCAUUAAAAUGUCUUUCCUUCACUCUUUUGCUCUUAGUUUCUUUUUGCUCCUAGUUUCAUCAAGUCCAAAGGACCUUGGAUCAGACCUGGAGGAAAACAGGUCCUUCCUUCACUGUACAGUGGUAGAUAAAUUGGAAUUCAAAUUAGAAAUGUCAGAAUACAGAAAACGCAGUAUUUGCCUUCUGCAUUAACGUAAUACUGCUGCUAGA